GUCCAGGUCGGGGCAUAUUGGAGCCGUCUGAAGCGAAUGGAAAUGGGAAUUGCAUAAAAAGGGCACAGCGGGACAGCCAGGUGACACUCAGUUGAAUUGCAAGCAGCAGCUCCGCCAUACCACAAGAGGGCAGCAUGACCAAACUACAACCGGUUACACUUGGUGGUGCGACCAUUUUGGAUCAUCAAAUCAGCGGUUCGCCGAUGCUUCACCAAUCUUCUCUCCCGGCCGUCUUCCUCAUCAGUAUCGUUCGUUGCGGCUCCGUGUUCGUGCAUAAAGUACUUUCGUUCGUCGUUGCUGCAUAUUAAACAAGAGAGACUUUGUGAUAAGCGCACCAGGACGCUUCAGUGAC
ensembl:lncRNA